UACAGAGGGGGCAAGCGUUAAUCGGAUUUACUGGGCGUAAAGCGUGCGUAGGCGGUUCAUUAAGUCGGUUGUGAAAUCCCUGGGCUUAACCUGGGAACUGCAGUCGAUACUGGUGGACUAGAGUGCGGUAGAGGGUGGCGGAACUCCGGGUGUAGCGGUGAAAUGCGUAGAUAUCCGGAAGAACACCGAUGGCGAAGGCAACCACCUGGGCCUGCACUGACGCUGAGGUACGAAAGCGUGGGGAGCAAACAGG
rnacentral:rRNA from 1 species